UAAAAGACAAACCCUAGGUUUCCGUGUCCAACUUUGACUAUCCGUCUUAUAUGAAAUUUUUUUAUAAUUAGUAUUUUCAUUGUUAUUAGAUGAUAAAACAUGAUUAAUACUUUAUGUGUGAGACUUGUCUUUUUAAUUUUUUUCAUAAUUUUUUUAAAUAAGACGGACGGUCAAACGUUGGACACGGAAACCCAGGGUUUGUCUUUUU
rfam:Oryza nivara chromosome 2, whole genome shotgun sequence.